CAAACUCAAAUGUGUCUCUAAAUGAACAGUGUACAAUUAGCUCUCUGAAAUUUUACGAUACGAUCGUUAUCAAAGAAAGCGUUCAGGGGUUGCCAUUGUUGAAUUGACCAGAGAUGCUAACAUAUGAUGAUUGGAAAGAGGAGUCAUAGGCCAUAAGCACCGAUUAACUGCACGGCGUGGAAGGAAUGUUAGAAAAAUGCAAUCAUUUCCUGCAUUCUGGUGAGAUUUGCAGCCAAUUUGUACAGCCCGUAACAAAUCACUAUACAUACAAUGUGAACAGUAAGCGUGUGCAGAUAGGAGAUGGAAAUGUGAUUGAAGUGAACGAAGAGAACGAACGCCUGAAAGCUGAGAUGGCUGGUCUCCGCAAAACGAUUGAACACCUGAAAGCUGAGAUAGCUGAACUCCGUAAAAUGAUAACGACCAUUGAGGAAAAGGUCGCAGAUACAAAGAUACAUGGAGCAUCAAAAUGUAGGUGUUCCUGUUGUCCGUUAACUACUGCUAGUUCAAUCUGUUGUCAUGACGUUCAGCACAUGGUGUCAAGCAUGGGAGCUUAUAAAUGUAUUACGAAAAAGCCCUUUUUUAGGAGCGAAUGUUUACAUAUUCCCUAUUUGGAAAGUGUUCAUCAGAUAUAUUUCGGCAAAAACAGAUAUAACAUACGCUACAGGUCCACAGCAUACAGACAUUUUGUGAGGCGGGUGUAUGGCAUACUCGGAAGGGGAAACGGUGUGGACCUCCCUGCAUGUUAUAACCGCAUCCGUUCAAUAUUAAAGAACAAUGUUGGUGUCCACCAUUUUUACAUAUAUGAUAGAAAUAUAAUUUAAUAUAGCGGUCUUGGCUACGGUUGGGCGAUUUGAACAUUCGGGAAGUGACGUAAAUAAAGUAAUUCAGUAAUGCCUGGGUCCCACUGGGCAUUUCUUGAGUAUGGGAGAUGUAAUACCGAUGGAAAUUAAUGUACUUCGAGAUGCGUCGGGAACAGGUUCCCUGUUGUCCCGGGCAAACUUCAGGAACGUCGCGAGUCAUGCUUGAUGUGUCCCCGACCAAAUAGGGUGGGAGCACCCCAGCAGCUUUCCAGAUCAACGGGGAAGCUCCGGGGAGAUGAUUUCCUGGAGUUUCUACGACAUAUUUUAUUCCCCCGUGGCAUUCGGACACCUUCCAGAUAUAUAUUAAAUCCCCGGCGAAUUUUCGGCUACCAUUCGAUGAACUUUUGGUAACACAUUCCCGAUCUCAGGGUUCCAUCCCCGAAUAUUCGGCGACGGUUGAAAAGUGCUGGAUUUGCAUAAAAUACAUCUCUUUUCAAUCGGCGAUCAUUUACAUAAUGUCUAGGUCCCACUGGGCAUUUUUGGCCUCUGAGAUGUACUGCCGAUGGAAAUUUAUGAGCCUCGGGAGGCCUCGGGAAGAGAGCCAGAGGGAACCAUCAGAGGGCACGGGAGAAAAUUUGUUUAUGUCCACAUCAUCCACCUAGGCAUAAAUGAAAAUAGAAAGAUGCAACAGCUACUUAGACGAUUUUUAGUUCAUUGAUAAUUCCUUUGAAAUAACUGAUUUCGUUUAAUUGCGUCACUUUUUGGAUCUUCAAAUUGGUUUUACGGGUCCGCCGUAGCAAAGAUCUGUGUCAAAUUUGAUCUGGAAUUUAUUUAAUCAGGUCUAUCCCCUAUGUAAAAUUGGUAGACAAAAACAUUGUCCUUUACAAAAUACAGGACAACUCAACUCAAAUUUUUUAUUUAUCUAUGUUUUGCAUAAGAUGCACAUAGAAAAACAUAUCGUAUCUGAGAACCCUUUCGUCUUUGUAAUAAUUUGCUACCAGGUGAGAGAGUACAAGUUAGAGAAUACUUGACCGAUCGCUGACCGCUAAUUACAUAUCCUAGUGUUCAGGUGUCACCAACAUCAAUAUGAUUAUAGUGAAAUAAUCUAUCAAUGACAGCUGAUUCAUUGUGUAGUUCUUUAUUUAAUAUUUUUAAUAUCAAUAAUAUAUGUAUACGCAUACGUUAAUUAACUUUAUACCACAUCUAAGUUAAGUAUAAAUUAGCUGAGGUGUUUGAGUCAAAUCAGUGGAGCUUGGGGGCUCACCAAAGACGGGUCUCUCUAUUUUCUAAUAUUGUAAUACUGCUAGAAUAAAUUAAUGUCCAGUCCA